rnacentral:rRNA from 1 species
GCGAAGCUGGAUUCGCUAGUAAUCGCGCAUCAGCCAUGGCGCGGUGAAUACGUUCCCGGGCCUUGUACACACCGCCCGUCAAGCCAUGGGAGCCGGGGGUGCUUGAAGUGCGUCGCCGCAAGGCGCGCCCUAGAGCAAAACCGGUGACUGGGGCUAAGUCGUAACAAGGUAUC